AUGAGUCCCAGAGGCCUUAAAACAGGUUGCCAUGCCAAAGAGAGGGACAGAGGGGUUUAAGACCUUCAGUCUUGCUGCCUUGAAGUCAGAAGUCAGUCUUCUACUAGCAGCCUUUGGAUGAAGAUGUUGAACUCUCAGCUCUGCCUGUGCCAUGAUUGCCUGGAUGAUGCCCUGUUCCAACCUCUGAACCUAGGAGCAGGGGUCAAUACCAAUAUGGCAGUUCAAAACUGUCUGUAAAUCCAGUUUCCAGGGGACCUAACACCCUCUUCUGACUGCUAAGGGCAUCAGGUAUGUACAUGGUGCACUGACAUACAUGUAAUGUAGCCAGAACACUCUGGCACAUAAAAUAAAAACAGUAAGUCUUUUUAAAAAAUUAAAUGAAUAAAUGAAUGAAUGACUUGGCUGAAGGU